AAUAGAUACCCCGGUAGUCCACGCCGUAAACGAUGAGUGCUAAGUGUUAGGGGGUUUCCGCCCCUUAGUGCUGCAGCUAACGCAUUAAGCACUCCGCCUGGGGAGUACGGUCGCAAGACUGAAACUCAAAGGAAUUGACGGGGGCCCGCACAAGCGGUGGAGCAUGUGGUUUAAUUCGAAGCAACGCGAAGAACCUUACCAGGUCUUGACAUCCCAUUGACCGCUAUGGAGACAUAGUUUUCCCUUCGGGGACAGUGGUGACAGGUGGUGCAUGGUUGUCGUCAGCUCGUGUCGUGAGAUGUUGGGUUAAGUCCCGCAACGAGCGCAACCCUUGAUCUUAGUUGCCAUCAUUUAGUUGGGAACUCUAAGGUGACUGCCGGUGACAAACCGGAGGAAGGUGGGGAUGACGUCAAAUCAUCAUGCCCCUUAUGACCUGGGCUACACACGUGCUACAAUGGACGGUACAAACGGUUGCCAACCCGCGAGGGGGAGCUAAUCCGAUAAAACCGUUCUCAGUUCGGAUUGUAGGCCGCAACUCGCCUACAUGAAGCC
rnacentral:rRNA from 1 species